AUUGAACGCUGGCGGCAGGCCUAACACAUGCAAGUCGAACGAGUGGCGGACGGGUGAGUAAUGUCUGGGAAACUGCCCGAUGGAGGGGGGUAACUACUGGAAACGGUAGCUAAUACCGCAUACCAUCGGAUGUGCCCAGAUGGGAUUAGCUAGUAGGUGGGGUAACGGCUCACCUAGGCGACGAUCCCUAGCUGGUCUGAGAGGAUGACGAUCACAACUGGAAGUGAGAAACGAUCCAGACUCCUGCGAGAGGCAGCAGUGGGGAAUAUUGCACAAUGGGCGCAAGCCUUAUGCAGCCAUGCCGCGUGUAUGAAGAAGGCCUUCGGGUUGUAAAGUACUUUCAGCGAGGAGGCUUUACUCGCAGGAGAAGCACCGCCUAACUCCGAGCCAGCAGCCGAGGUAUAC
rnacentral:rRNA from 1 species